rnacentral:rRNA from 1 species
AGCCUGAACGCUGGCGGCGUGGCUAAGACAUGCAAGUCGCACGGGGCCCGCAAGGGUCCAGUGGCGGACGGGUGAGUAAUGAAUCGCUAAUGUACCCCGAAGUCUGGGAUAGCCGGCCGAAAGGCCGGGUAAUACCAGAUGAGACCACGAGAGGGCAUCCUCUAGUGCUCAAAGGGUCACCGCUUUGGGCGCAGGCGAUUUCGUAUCAGCUAGUUGGUGAGGUAACGGCUCACCAAGGCGACGACGCGUAGCCGGGCUGAGAGGUCGGCCGGCCACAUUGGGACUGAGACACUGCCCAGACUCCUACGGGGGGCUGCAGUAACGAAUCUUCCGCAAUGCACGAAAGUGUGACGGAGCGACGCCGCGUGUAGGACGAAGUCCUUCGGGAUGUAAACUACUGUCAGGGGAAAGAAAGUUCUGAUCUACCCCAGAGGAAGAGGCGGCUAACUCUGUGCCAGCAGCCGCGGUAAGACAGAGGCCUCGAGCGUUAGGCGGAAUCACUGGGCUUAAAGCGUGUGUAGGCGGAAGGGUAAGUACCUUGUGAAAUCCCACGGCUUAACCGUGGAACUGCUGGGUAUACUGCUUUUCUUGAGCCAUUUAGGGGCGAGUGGAACAGAUGGUGGAGCGGUGAAAUGCGUAGAUAUCAUCUGGAACGCCUGUGGUGAAGACGACUCGCUGGGAAUGUGCUGACGCUGAGACACGAAAGCCAGGGGAGCGAACGGGAUUAGAUACCCCGGUAGUCCUGGCCCUAAACGAUGUCCACUAGAUUGUGGAGGCUCUGACGCCUUCACGGUCGAAGCAAAAGUGUUAAGUGG